UACGGAGGGUGCAAGCGUUAUCCGGAUUCACUGGGUUUAAAGGGUGCGUAGGUGGGUUGGUAAGUCAGUGGUGAAAUCUCCGAGCUUAACUUGGAAACUGCCAUUGAUACUAUCAGUCUUGAAUAUUGUGGAGGUCAGCGGAAUAUGUCAUGUAGCGGUGAAAUGCUUAGAUAUGACAUAGAACACCAAUUGCGAAGGCAGCUUGCUACCCGAAUAUUGACACUGAGGCACGAAAGCGUGGGGAUCAAACAGG
rnacentral:rRNA from 1 species